rnacentral:rRNA from 1 species
UACGUAGGGUGCGAGCGUUUAAUCGGAAUUACUGGGCGUAAAGCGUGCGCAGGCGGUUUUGUAAGCCAGAUGUGAAAUCCCCGGGCUCAACCUGGGAAUGGCAUUUGGGACUGCAAGGCUGGAGUGCGGCAGAGGAGACUGGAAUUCCUGGUGUAGCAGUGAAAUGCGUAGAUAUCAGGAGGAAUACCGAUGGCGAAGGCAGGUCUCUGGGCUGACACUGACGCUCAUGCACGAAAGCGUGGGGAGCGAACAA